CGCGCUGCGAAAGCGCGCACGCAUCGGCUGCCUUUGGGCCCCUUUGGAAAGCCGGGAAAAGCAAGCAUGGCCCAGGCGGAAUCCCGGCCCCUGAGGCCGCCUUCCGGCCUCCCUGCUCCCCACAGAGAGACGGAGAAAGGAAGAUAACUUUAGAUUUUCCUGGGGAAGAUGAUGUUUCGCAGAAUCAGUGUCCCAGUGGAUGGCAGAAUAAUUAAAGAUAACCAUCAGCAUUAUUUCGCACAUUUUUGAAAAUAUAAUUUGUUUUUAGAAAAUGCUAUCUAAAACUCAUAAUAAAAUGUUUCAUGGCAUUGUGGAUACCUCAGAACGUUGAUAAAAA